rnacentral:rRNA from 1 species
CAGUCGCCGCGGUAAUACAGAGGGUGCGAGCGUUAAUCGGAUUUACUGGGCGUAAAGCGUGCGUAGGCGGCUUCUUAAGUCGGAUGUGAAAUCCCUGAGCUUAACUUAGGAAUUGCAUUCGAUACUGGGAAGCUAGAGUAUGGGAGAGGGUGGUGGAAUUUCCUGUGUAGCGGUGAAAUGCGUAGAUAUAGGAAGGAACACCAGUGGCGAAGGCGACCACCUGGACUGAUACUGACGCUGAGGUACGAAAGCAUGGGGAGCAAACAGGAUUAGAUACCCCGGUAGUCCCUGUCUCUUAUAC